CUCCUUAUAAAACGUAGGCAUCCGCUAAGAACGGAUUUUACGAAACUCGACCCCUAAGGGGGUGAAACGGGGGUUGGAAGUUUGUAUGAAAGUCCUAUGUUUUUGAAGUAAGAGACUUAAAAUUUAAAAUGUAAGCUCUAUAAAUGGUGAAAAGGUGUCCAAAUAAUUUAUCUUUAGAAAUCAACUCCCUUUUGGGGUUAAAACGGGGGAUCGUAG
rnacentral:misc_RNA from 1 species